rnacentral:rRNA from 1 species
CCUACGGGGGGCAGCAGUGGGGAAUAUUGCACAAUGGGGGAAACCCUGAUGCAGCGACGCCGCGUGCGUGAAGACGUUUUUCGGUAUGUAAAGCUCUAUCAGCCGGGAAGAAAAUGACGGUACCUGACUAAGAAGCCCCGGCUAACUACGUGCCAGCUGCCGCGGUAAUACGUAGGGGGCAAGCGUUAUCCGGAUUUACUGGGUGUAAAGGGGGCGUAGACGGCAGCACAAGUCUGAAGUUAAAUCCCAGGGCUUAACCAUGGAACUGCUUUGGAAACUGUGCAGCUUGAGUGCAGGAGAGGUAAGCGGAAUGCGUGGUGUAGCGGUGAAAUGCGUAGAUAUCAGGAGGAACACCAGUGGCGAAGGCGGCUUACUGGACUGUAACUGACGUUGAGGCUCGAAAGCGUGGGGAGCAAACAGGAUUAGAUACCCGAGUAGUC